rnacentral:rRNA from 1 species
UACGGAAGGUCCGGGCGUUAUCCGGAUUUAUUGGGUUUAAAGGGAGCGUAGGCCGGAGAUUAAGCGUGUUGUGAAAUGUAGACGCUCAACGUCUGCACUGCAGCGCGAACUGGUUUCCUUGAGUACGCACAAAGUGGGCGGAAUUCGUGGUGUAGCGGUGAAAUGCUUAGAUAUCACGAAGAACUCCGAUUGCGAAGGCAGCUCACUGGAGCGCAACUGACGCUGAAGCUCGAAAGUGCGGGUAUCGAACAGGAUUAGAUACCCGGGUAGUUGACUGACU